rnacentral:lncRNA from 1 species
CGAGAAUCGGAGAUAAAUUACUGCAUUCCAACACAUGGUCUAAUCAGUUCUACAAAGCGCAUUCCGAAACCCGAUCUUUCUCCCAUAUCCAUCUCACCAUCCCUGACUUUUCCAGUGCCUCAAAACAAACUACAGAGCACAGAGUACAUCCAUCCAUAUCACCAUAAGUUUUUUUUUUUUUUGCGGGGGGAUAUCACCAUAAGUUAGAGAGGGGAAUGAAAGCCAAGGACCACAUCAAGAGCCUUGGCGAUGAGCGCUUCGAGUUCGAGAUAGUUACAUGCCGCUGGUCAACCA